rnacentral:misc_RNA from 1 species
GUUUAUGGUCGUAUUAUAGUUAAAGGGAAAUUUAAUAAUUUUAGCGUCAACUGUCAACGUUGCAGUCCUAUUCCGAAUUCCGGAUCCAUAAACUUUCUUAAAAUAUUGGAAAGGAAACGAAAUUGAAACGGAAUGUGCGAACAAUCUGCUCAAAAUGAAAUUAACCAAAGUUAUUGUUUCAAAUGGAAUGAUUAUCAAAAUCAUUUAUCCGAUGUAAUUCGUCAACUUUUAGAAGAUGAUUGUAUGGUAGAUGUUACACUUUCUGCAGCAGGAGAACGUAUUCAUGCGCACCGUAUUGUUCUAUCUGCUUGCAGUACAUUAUUUCAAGAAGUUCUGAGUCAAGUAAACGAAGAUCAUCCUACCAUAAUAUUAAGCGAUAUAUCUGCUCAGGAUAUAAAAUCAAUUAUUGAAUUUACCUAUCAUGGAGAAGUACGUAUUCCAGUAGAAAAUAUUAAUAGUUUGUUGGAUGCAGCACGAUCUUUAAGAAUAUGUGGUCUUAAUGAGAUUGAUGAUUUUGAUGAAAAUGAUACCAUUAUUGAUAGCAAAGAUGCGGCUGAAGAUAAUAUUGAUCAUUUACCAGAAAUAAGUGAAACGGAUGAAAUCGAGAUAAAUACAUUAAAUAAUAAAUGCGAAUUAGGAAAUUUAAAAACUGAGGAUAAGAUAACAGAAAACUCUCUCUUAAAUAAAAGAAGAAAAAGAAAAAGAGAUGUGAUGAAAAGAGAAUAUAGUGAUGAUAUGUUAGCAUCGGCUAUUAAUGAUUUAAGGCUUGGUCAAACUUUAAUAGAAGCGGCUACCAAACAUAACAUACCACGUUCUACAUUAUACAUGCGUGCUAAAGGAUUGGGUAUACAUUUAAAUGCAUCUAGGAAUGAAUAUCCUGCCGAAUGUAUGCAAGCGGCAAUAGAUACUGUGAUCGCUGGUACUAGUCUACAACAAGCAUCAGAAAUAUUCAGUAUUCCUAAAACCGUAUUAUGGAGACGGAUACAAAAGCAAGGUUAUCAAAUCCUACGCUCCGAAAUGAAAAGAUCUUAUGGAUCGGAUAAACGUGAAGCAGCUGUUAAGGCUUUAGAAAGAGGAGAAAAUUUAACUAAAGUUGCUCUUGAAUUUCAGAUACCCAAGACAACAUUAUUUAGAGACAAAGCAAGAUUAGUGGACGAAGGGAAAUUACCACUUUCAUUUUGGAAAAAACGUAAGACAGAAAAUGAGGAGUUAAAAAAGUCGAGAUUAGAAGAAGCCGUUGCUGCUUGUAAAGGAGGGAAGAUGUCUCAGGCGGCAGCAUCCAUGGCUUAUGAUAUACCAAAGACUACGAUAUGGAGGCGGUUGCAACAGGAUAGUAACAAGUCGGAAAGAUUAACAAAUAAAAAAAAAUCACAGAGAAGUAUUGAGACAACAUCGAGCACAGUUGAUAAACCAAAGCAAGAAGCAUCCGAUUUUACGUACUGCGAGGUCGCGUCAGAAAUUCCGAUAACAUAUAUAGAUGAAAAUAGUUUACCGGAGGAUUCUGUUAUUAUUUUAACGACAGAGGAUAUGGAUGGUCUUAAUUUAGAAGAGGGAAGACAAAUAAUUGUAAAUUCUUAAUUUUCGUUAUAGGUAUCAAGUCAUGAAUAUGUUCCAUGUAAUCUAAAUAUAGAAGAAAAUUCUAAUUACACGCAACCAGAAAAUUAACAAGAUUAGGACGAAGGAUAUUAUAUUUUAUAACGUACGUGAUAAACGUAACGAACAACGAAAAUGAUUUUCUUUAAAAGAAUUAUUUUUUAAAUGAAAAUGUUAUAUACAUAAUUAUAUUGUAAAUAAUGCUCGUUCAUUUAUUUAUUAUCAAUUAAAAUAAGGCGCAAUAUUAUAUUAUCAUUUUGCAGUAUACAUUUUAUGUUGUAAUUAUUGUUAAAGUUAUUAUUGUAUAUUCCAUACAUAACAGAUAACUAUAAUAUUUUGAUGUAUUAUAAAAAAACAAUGUUUUCUUAUUUUAUCGAGCUGAAUUGGAAACAAAUCUAAAGUUAAAAAACAGUAAUGUUAGAUAAAUAUAAAACUGUUAUAUAUUUAUACGAAAAUAUUCGAUUCGGUUUUAUUUCAGUACUCUGAUAAUCGAGUUUAGGACAAUUUCUAUUUACGUGCUUUGAAAGUUACUUGUAGAAUUCUUCUACGCGUGUAAUUCAUUUGUUGUAUAUUUUCGUGGUUUUCAUAAUUAAACAUUCUUUUAUAUGUGAGCUCGACUUAAAAAAAAAAUGAAUAUAUACAAUUUUAUAUAUAAAAGCAAUAAAAAUAUAAAAUACCGUU